CCAGACUCCUACGGGAGGCAGCAGUGGGGAAUAUUGCACAAUGGGGGAAACCCUGAUGCAGCAACGCCGCGUGAGUGAAGAAGUAUUUCGAUAUGUAAAGCUCUAUCAGCAGGGAAGAAGAUGACGGUACCCGAGUAAGAAGCCCCGGCUAACUACGUGCCAGCAGCCGCGGUAAUACGUAGGGGGCAAGCGUUAUCCGGAUUCACUGGGUGUAAAGGGAGCAUAGACGGCCGUGCAAGCCAGGAGUGAAAGCCCGGGGCCCGACCCCGGGACUGCUCUUGGAACUGUGCGGCUGGAGUGCGGGAGGGGCAGGCGGAAUUCCUGGUGUAGCGGUGAAAUGCGUAGAUAUCAGGAGGAACACCGGCGGCGAAGGCGGCCUGCUGGACCGCGACUGACGUUGAGGCUCGAAAGCGUGGGGAGCGAACAGGAUUAGAUACCCCCGUAGUC
rnacentral:rRNA from 1 species